AGCCCUAGCUCCGACCUUCAGAACCUUCCAGAUUCUUUCUCUUUCGCUUUAUUUCCAUUUCUUUCAAUUCUGAAACAAGCUUCUUCUAGGGUUUUUCCGCCCCUUGCUUUCCUCAAUUUGGCUUCAUCACUCAAUUCCUACCAGAGAUAAUAUCAUUUUUGGCCGCUUUACUGUUUACGUUUCCUUACGCUCUCUGCCCCUAAACAAUCCCGAGAGCGACCACCGGCCUCUGGAAGUUUCAGGGUUGGGCUGCACAGAGUUGAAUUUCUAGUGUUUUCUGAGUAGAAAGUGAUUCGAG
rnacentral:misc_RNA from 1 species